GACGUAGGGGGCAAGCGUUAUUCGGAAUCAUUGGGCGUAAAGCGCUCGUAGGCGGAUCAGCAAGUCGGUGAAGAAAGACCCGGGCUCAACUCGGGGAACGGCACCGAUACUGUUGGUCUUGAGGCAAUCAGAGGGUAAUGGAAUUCCCGGUGUAGCGGUGAAUGCGUAGACAUCGGGAGGAACACCAGUGGCGAAGGCGGCGACCUGGACCGAAGCUGACGCUGAGGCGCGAAAGCGUGGGGAGCGAUCCGG
rnacentral:rRNA from 1 species